GUCUUAUCCGAGGGGUGCGUCGACGGACGCUGAGAGCCGGGAAGCCGGCAACCCUUUGAACCUGAUCCGGGUUGCGCCGGCGGAGGGACGGGAUCAUCCAGACCG
rnacentral:ncRNA from 2 species